CCGAAGCUGUGAACCGAAGCCCCAGUAAACGGCGGCCGUAACUAUAACGGUCCUAAGGUAGCGAAAUUCCUUGUCAGGUAAAUUCUGACCCGCACGAAUGGCGUAACGACUUGGGCGCUGUCUCAACGAGAGAUCCGGUGAAAUUUUAAUACCUGUGAAGAUGCAGGUUACCCGCGACAAGACGGAAAGACCCCAUGGAGCUUUACUGCAGCUUGAUAUUGAAUUUGGGUACGAUCUGUACAGGAUAGGUGGGAGCCUUUGAAG
rnacentral:rRNA from 1 species